CACCGCCCGUCGCUCCUACCGAUUGAAUGGUCCGGUGAAGUGUUCGAAUCGCGGCGACGGGGGCGGUUCGCCGCCCCCGACGUUGCGAGAAGUCCAUUGAACCUUAUCAUUUAGAGGAAGGAGAAGUCGUAACAAGGUUUCCGUAGGUGAACCUGCGGAAG
rnacentral:rRNA from 1 species